GAUGAACGCUGGCGGCGUGCCUAAUACAUGCAAGUCGAGCGAACAGACGAGGAGAUUGCUCCUCUGACGUUAGCGGCGGAAGGGUGAGUAACACGUGGAUAACCUACCUAUAAGACUGGGAUAACUUCGGGAAACCGGAGCUAAUACCGGAUAAUAUAUUGAACCGCAUGGUUCAAUAGUGAAAGACGGUUUUGCUGUCCCUUAUAGAUGGAUCCGCGCCGCAUUAGCUAGUUGGUAAGUUAACGGCUUACCAAGGCAACGAUGCGUAGCCGACCUGAGAGGGUGCUCUGCCACACUGGAACUGAGACAAGGUCCAGACUCCUACGGGACGCAGCAGUAGGGAACCUUCCGCAGUGCGCGCAGGCCUGACGCAGCAACGCCGAGUGCAUGUGGAAGGUCUUCGGAUCGUAAAACUCUCUCAUUCGGGAAGAACAAAUGUGUAAGUGCCUAUGCACGUCCUCACGGUACCCAAGCAGAAAGCCACCGCUAACCUCUUC
rnacentral:rRNA from 1 species